AGGUACUCCAUUGUCUGAUGGAUCUGAGAACGCUGUCUGGGCUUGGUACCAAGAGCUGGUAUUUCACAGCAGCGACCGCCUCACAGACGAGCUGUGGGAAGCAGGAGGGAGACUCUCUCUUAGGGUGCCACUACUAUGGAGACACAGCUGGGCUGAACAAGAUUUGCUUCAAACGACAACAAGAGAGACAGAAAGUAUCUGGUUCAACCGCUGCCCGAGCAGGCAGGCACCAGAAGAGCUAGCAGCCAAUCCGGCCAUGCUCGAAGCCAGCUCUGCAGCUCAGCCAAUCAGUGACAUCAUUGCUUUCUUUAGCUUGCCCAUGGUGAUGUGAAGAUGAGAAGAAAUAGCAAGGCCCAACCAGUUCUUCAUCUGGAGACAGUUCAACGUUCUGCAAACCAGAUCUUCAGGAAUUUUACUGGGAUAAUUAUCCAAAUAAAUUGCAAGCAUUCUAUCCAAAUGGAGCUCUUUCUGAGAUGAAGAGAAUUCUCAAUGUCAAGAUUUGAACAAGAAGAGAAUGGAAUACACAAUAUGGACAUCCAUAAAAAUUCAUCAGAGAGCAUUUUACUACUGAGCUGCAAAGGGAAAAACUUAAAAUGGAUAUGAAAAGUGAAGAAAGUGAUCAUAGGAGAAAACCAUUUCAGAUCAACCACCUCAGAAGAGCCAGAUUCCACUUCUGUGGCCAGGACUUUUACAUUAUGGCUGGUCCGAUUGUUUUACCCUGCGUUCUAUGCUACUAAACCUUGGAUCAUUCCUAAAGUGUCUGAUGAUUUGUGAGCCUCAAGUGACUACUCUGUGGAAUCAUCUGUCCUUGCCUUUGAAUUAGCUUUCCCUAGGCCAUGAGUCAACAUUAGUAGUUUAUACAUCCAAAUUGAUGACAAGAGCACCUCAAAGGCAGCAGCCUCAAGGAGCAGCCAUGGCCCCAGACUUGUCGCACGGAUGCAGAAAACUUAAUGGAGGAGGCUGAGGUCAGAAUGGGAAGAGUUUUUAAAAAAUAAAAAGGGGAGCUAAUAUGUGA
rnacentral:lncRNA from 1 species